rnacentral:rRNA from 1 species
AUUGAACGCUGGCGGAAUGCUUUACACAUGCAAGUCGAACGGCAGCACGGACUUCGGUCUGGUGGCGAGUGGCGAACGGGUGAGUAAUACAUCGGAACGUGCCCAGUCGUGGGGAUAACGUAGCGAAAGCUACGCUAAUACCGCAUACGAUCUAAGGAUGAAAGCGGGGGAUCGCAAGACCUCGCGCGAUUGGAGCGGCCGAUGGCAGAUUAGGUAGUUGGUGGGGUAAAGGCUCACCAAGCUGACGAUCUGUAGCUGGUCUGAGAGGACGACCAGCCACACUGGGACUGAGACACGGCCCAGACUCCUACGGGAGGCAGCAGUGGGAAAUUUUGGACAAUGGGCGCAAGCCUGAGCCAGCCAUUCCGCGUGCAGGAUGAAGGCCCUCGGGUUGUAAACUGCUUUUGUACGGAACGAAAAGGCUCUGGUUAAUACCCGGGGCUCAUGACGGUACCGUAAGAAUAAGCACCGGCUAACUACGUGCCAGCCGCCGCCGUAA